CACGACGAAUAAAACUUUAUUGAAACUGGGAAUUGUUUAUUCCAGCCAUUGGUCUAUCUUAGGGUUUCUCCACCUCGGCUCUAUUGACAUUUGGGGUCCGAUCAUUCCUUUUAGGGGGGAUGGUCCCGUGCAUUACAGGAUGCUGACUACCAUCUUCAGCUCUUACCCAUGAGACGUCAGCAGCACUACCUGCCCCCCCACUGGCCCUCAAGGUGUGACACCCCAAAAUGUCCCAGAUAUUGCCAAGUGUCCCGCGGGUGCGCACAUUCACCCCAGCUUGAGUCUGUAGUCUUCUCUUAUCAGACAAGGAGCUACAUUUAUGGUGGCCCCUUGGACAUUUGAGGAACAGAGACUCAAGGUGGCCUCAGCUAAACUCGUCAUCUCCUCUUCCCCCAUCUCUACCUCCACUUGCUCCUUCCUCAGCUCCCUGUUGCAAGGAAGGCCCCACCUGCGGGACAUCAACGACCUUUUAUUGUCCCAAGUCCCAUUUGUGUUGCUUCCUAAAUAACCACUAAACCCAUCCACUUCAUCCAUGUCCCCUGCCGCCACCCAAAUCCAGGACACCAUCCAUGCAUGCCUGGACCAUUGCAGUAGCCACUUUCCAAGCCAGCUCCAUUCACUCCUGCCCCCUACAGUCCAUUCUCCACACAGCAGCCAGAGAGAGAGCUUUUCAAAAGGCGAUUGUGAUAACAGGUCCACGGGGCCUGGAGAAUCCACUUCUCAGAUGGCUCCUUCCCAUGGUUGUUGGCGGGAGGCCUCCGUUCCUUGUCCGUGGGCUUCUCAGGUGUCUUCACAACAUGGCAGCUGGCUUCCGCUGGAGCAAGUGAUCCAAGACAGGGCGCAAGGAGGCCUCGACGCCUUUGAUGACCAAAAAAAAAAAGGAAGGAGAUCCUGACACCUGCUCCCACGUGGAUGGACCUGAGGAUGUGAUGCUCAGGGACGUGAGCCAGACACAGAAGGACACACACUGUGUGGUCCACUCACAGGAGGUCCCCAGAGGAGCCACAUCCACAGAGACAGAAAGUGGAUGGGGGGCCAGGGGCUGGGGGAGGGGUGGGAGUCAGUGUGUCAUGGGGACAGAGCUUCCGUUUGGGGAGAUGGAAAGCUCUGUUCCUCCCCGAACCACAGCCUUUACUGCUCUGGCUAAGAAGGAAGGGACCCAGCGCAGAGAUGCAGAGCGGAGGAGGUGACAUCGCUGGCCGGGCUCCCUCGGCAUCAAUUGUCGCUGAGCUAACAUCUGUGCCAAUCUUCUAUUUUACGUGGGACGCUGCCGCAGCAUGGCUUGAUGAGUGGUGUAUAGGUCCAUGCUGAGAACCCAAACCCGCGAACCCUGGGCCACUGAAGCAGAGCAUGUAAACUUAACCUCUACCCGACCAGGCCAGCCCCUCACCCUCUGUUUUACCCACCUGGUCACCAGAGCCGGCUCAUCCAUCAGACACAGGAGACCCAGGGCCCGUGACACUCUGAGGGACCCACAGAAUGGCUUCAUUUUAAUGUCUCAAAAUCAGGAGAAAAAGAGAAAUAAAAGAACCCCAGUGCAGUCGCGCAAGAUCAGCUGUCACAUUUUUUCACGGAGGGAGGGGCCCCCAGUGGCAAACGUCUCACGUGGCCCUGCCCAUCCCGUGCUGCCCGGCACACAGCAGGCGCUUAAUAACUGUCUAUGGAAGGACUGAACAUCCGCUGAAUCGCUGGUCCCCACUCGUAACAGGAGACGCGGGACAAACGGGUCGGUGGACGGGCGGGGGCGGUCAGGGGGCGGCCAGGCGACACCGGACCCGGCAGAGACCAAGCCGGGAGCACAGCGCCACCUUGUGGCACAGGGUCGGCGGGGGGGGGGGGGAGGGCCCCCC
ensembl:lncRNA